rnacentral:rRNA from 1 species
UGCCAGCCGCCGCGGUAAUACGGAGGGUGCAAGCGUUGUUCGGAAUCAUUGGGCGUAAAGCGGGUGCAGGCGGUGAAGUGUGUCUGAUGUGAAAGCCCGGGGCUCAACCCCGGAAGUGCAUUGGAAACUGCUUCACUUGAGUCCUGGAGAGGAUAGCGGAAUUCCUGGUGUAGAGGUGAAAUUCGUAGAUAUCAGGAGGAACACCGGCGGCGAAGGCGACGCUCUGGCCUGUUUCUGACGCUGAGGUGCGAAAGCUAGGGGAGCAAACAGGAUUAGAUA